GGGUGUAAAGCGUGCGCAGGCGGUUAUGCAAGACAGAGGUGAAAUCCCCGGGCUCAACCUGGGAACUGCCUUUGUGACUGCAUAGCUAGAGUGCGGCAGAGGGGGAUGGAAUUCCGCGUGUAGCAGUGAAAUGCGUAGAUAUGCGGAGGAACACCGAUGGCGAAGGCAAUCCCCUGGGCCUGCACUGACGCUCAUGCACGAAAGCGUGGGGAGCAAACAGGAUUAGAUACCCUGGUAGUCCACGCCCUAAACGAUGUCAACUGGUUGUUGGGAGGGUUUCUUCUCAGUAACGUAGCUAACGCGUGAAGUUGACCGCCUGGGGAGUACGGCCGCAAGGUUGAAACU
rnacentral:rRNA from 1 species